GCCGAAGUGGCGGAAUUGGCAGACGCGCUGCGUUCAGGGCGCAGUGGGCGUAAGCCUGUGUGGGUUCAAAUCCCACCUUCGGCA
rnacentral:tRNA from 1 species